rnacentral:rRNA from 1 species
UACGGAGGGAGCUAGCGUUGUUCGGAAUUACUGGGCGUAAAGCGCACGUAGGCGGCUUUUUAAGUCAGGGGUGAAAUCCCGGGGCUCAACCCCGGAACUGCCCUUGAAACUGGAGAGCUAGAAUCUUGGAGAGGCGAGUGGAAUUCCGAGUGUAGAGGUGAAAUUCGUAGAUAUCGGGAGGAACACCAGUGGCGAAGGCGGCGAUCUGGGAAGAUACUGACGCUGAGGUGCGAAAGCGUGGGGAGCAAACAGG